rnacentral:rRNA from 1 species
GGGAAACUCACCAGGUCCGGACAUAGUAAGGAUUGACAGAUUGACAGCUCUUUCUUGAUUCUAUGGGUGGUGGUGCAUGGCCGUUCUUAGUUGGUGGAGUGAUUUGUCUGGUUGAUUCCGUUAACGAACGAGAUCUCCGCCUACUAAAUAGUCACGCGAAUCCGUUUGGAUUUGCGGGCGACUUCUUAGAGGGACACUUGGCGUUUAGUCAAGGGAAGUUGGAGGCAAUAA